AUACGGAGGGUGCAAGCGUUAAUCGGAAUUACUGGGCGUAAAGCGUACGUAGGCGGUCCGUUAAGUUAGAUGUGAAAGCCCCGGGCUUAACCUGGGAACUGCAUUUAAAACUGGCGAACUAGAGUUGAGUAGAGGGGAGUGGAAUUUCAGGUGUAGCGGUGAAAUGCGUAGAGAUCUGAAGGAACACCAGUGGCGAAGGCGACUCCCUGGACUCGAACUGACGCUGAGGUACGAAAGCGUGGGUAGCAAACGGGAGUAGAUACCCUAGUAGUCC
rnacentral:rRNA from 1 species